UUGUUUAUUUCGCUUGCCAUGGCGUUUCUGAGACUGGGGCGUGACUGUGGGGUCAGGGUGUGGCCUGCGGGCUGGUGGGGGCAUCGGCUUCGCUUUGCUCUGGAACACCCCAGGCCGUGCAUGCCUGGUAGGCAAGCACCCCGUUUCUUCACCAAGCUGCACCUCCAGCCCACGCACACUAUUUUCAGGUUGCAGGUUUACAUAGGAACCAAGGUUUCUUGUUUAAUCAAGCGUCCUUCUCCGUACGUGCUUGGGUCCCUCAAGAAAGUCACCUCAGGACCAAGCACUUAGACACAGGCCACGCAGACCUUCAGCUCUGGUUGAGUCUCUGCAGCAAUCAGGUGACGCCGGCUCCUGAGGGGCACCUCUGCAAGCGCUCACGAAUCGCCAAAGAAAAUACGAUGGACAUUAAUCAUACUCCGUGACUGAUAAUUGUCAGCUGUAUUGUUGUUGCUGUUCGAGUGACCUCACUAAGAACCUCUACAAUGGCUGGACAUUUCAAACAGGAAGAAGCUGAAUAGACCCAUCUCCAGUCUGGCAUUUGCCAUUUAAUCCUUGAUUUUGGAAGCCUGGGAAGGACAUCUAGCUGGCAAAGAGGAAAUCUGCAACAGCAGCUCUGAUUUUGAGUGGACACUGAGCAUGGGGAAUUCACUGUGAAGAGAAGGCUUCUUGUUGAGCUCAGUUUUCCCUGGUUUGUUAUCCGGCCCUUGUAAUGCAGAAAACAAGAAGCACAAGUGUGAGGAAACUUUAUGAGGUGGCUAAAAGGAAAAGGAAAUGAACAGCAGGCAGUGUGAGCUACAGCUGCAGCCCCAGCCGCCCUGCCCUGUGGCGGCUCCAGGAUGGGGCUCCCUGCUGCCACCAGGGAAGGGUGUGAGAUGUAUCUGAAACUGCAACUCACGCGUCUGUUAGAAAUUGCUAACUGCCCAAACCCUCAGCAAAGCUCAUCUUAGUCUGAACUCUGAAUCUUAGGUGCAUCGUCUGUCAGCAGCGGGCAGCAUUUGGAGUUAAAUGUAUGUUACUGAAUAGGACAGCAAUAUCCAAGCACAGAAAUUGGCACACAAUUUCAAGGAUUUUCUGGCAGAAGUAAAUGCAAGCCUUAUCUGAAUGGACAUGUUCUCACACGAUUCUCACAGAUAAAACUCUGAUGAUGAUGGAUUACACUCUGCAGUCAUGCAGCAGAAGGGAAACUCAUUCACCAAGAAUGAAAGCCAAUCAACAGAAUCACUAAGCUGUAGGACUAGGUCUUCCUUUAAACACUUUAGAGGAUAAAACUAUUAAAUAAAUGUUAUAAAAUAUUCUUAAAAUGAUCACAUGCAUACCAGAUGAAAAUUUAAAAAUGUAUGAGAAUAUUAUGAAUAGGAAAGUUAGAUUUAAAAAAAAAUAAAUAGAACUUCUAGAAGUCAAAAAUAUGUAGUUUUAAAACAUUAUUAUUGCAUAGAACAACAUAUUAGAUGCAGUUUAAGAAACACUGUUGGAUGAAAGAAAUAUCUAAAAGAUCUAUAACUCAGGCAUAAAAGGCAGAAAAUAUGAAACUUGGAGAGAAAUUUAGCAUACAUCCGAUGAGUUCUAGAAGGUUAAAGCAGAAAGAACGAGGAUGUUUGGAGACUGAGCUCUUGCAAUUCUCUUAGAGUUUAGUAAAAUAUUACUUUGUGAAUUAAACACGGACUAUUCCUGAGGAAGACCCUCUACAAAAUCACUCACACAAAGAUAUGGAUUAUCAAAAAAUAAAGAGGAGAAUUUAAAUCAUAGAACUUUAAAACAUAAGCAAAGACUAGACUCACUAAAACUCUCAACACUUAACCUCAGUGCAAGGGUUAGCAAACUGUGGUUCAUGGUCAGCGGGCUUUAUUGGCACACUCUCGUUAAAUUCUGUGCUUUUUUGAAAAAUGUAAAUUAAAGGAAGACAAUUUAUUUAAAGAAUUGGGAGUGAGGAGAAGAUAACUUCUCUGCAGACCUGGGGCCAUUGGAAAGGCAAAUACUCCUCAGUACACAUUUUUACGGCCGCCUUUAUGUUACAGCAGCACAGCUGAGAACUUGUGCUGGAAACCAUGUGAUUUGCAAAAGCUGAAGGCUUUGCCAUCUCAUUGUUUAUGACAAAGUUUAGUGAUCCCUGGUGCAGAGGACAGGACUCAGCGAGGUGCAUGGGAUGGUGAGAAAUGCAACAGGAUGCUGGGAAACAGAAACGACCUUUGUGCACAAACGGCCCAAGCCGCAGACAGUGUCUCCCACAUGAAGCGAUCACAGCUCCUGAAAAAUUCAUCACUGGCACCCAUUUGCCUUUGUAUAGUAAUGGAAGUGGACACAGCCUCACGAAACGCACCCGAGCUUUACACCAUUCUCACACAUUAAUUAGGGCAUUUAUCGGUGUCCUUUUGUCAACAAAAAGGAAACUGAGGCCUUCCAAAGUGAUGCAGUUUAUUCAAGAUUACUGAGCUAACAAGAGGUGGGGAGAGUUGAUGCCAGGUCUCAAAAUUUGAGUUCAGGAUUCUACAGUCUUUAAAGAUAAUUGGCUAGAAACAGACAGGAAAUAGAAACUUCACUGGAAAGCCUAUGUAAAUCUGUAACACGUGAGCCGGCAUUGUCUAAGUAGGUUAAAUAUGUUUGACCUGUAUACUUGGCUGCUGUUAUCAAUUAAAUGGGUUAGUUUGAUUUUCCUUCUUAUAGGCUUUAUUUCCAGAGAGGAUGCUGUUUAGAAAAGACUACUGAGUUGCUGGUUCAUCAGCACCAUUUUUUUCCUCCUGUGGAGCUAUAGACUGCCCCUGCCCCCCUCACUGGCUGGUUUUGGCAAAGAUGCUGAUCGGACUCUGAGUCUCACCCCUAGACGUGUGGGGAAGACAAAUCUUCUCAAAGAAUUCCAAUGCCUGGUUCUUUCUUCUGCCUCUAGCCAACUGUGUCAGAAUCCCCAGUCUCAAGUUUUAAAAGCUCCCCAGUUAUGUUUAUCAGCUUUCUGUUAUUGAGACAAAAUAUCUGUGGUAACUUAACUUCUCACAAUUUCUGUGGUUUUAGUCUAUGGUUAUGUGGUCAGUCAGUGGAAGGUUCCUUUGUUUAAUUCAUGAGUCAGUCAAGUCCUGCUCUGCUAGUGGCCCGGGUACACUGGGCAGCACCAGCUUAUGCAGAAGGGCCUCAGUCAGCACUGUGGGGCGUUGGUCUCUGUUGCUCCCAACUGUCACAUUCUACACUAUGUGGCCAGUCCUCUCACACACUGGCCUUUGGAGGGCACUUCUGAACCACAGCGCUGGUGUUCCUAAAAUGUAUUCAGGGCUAAGAACUAGAUUUUCAUGAAAACAAGAAAGUUGGAGAGAUGCCACACAGUUUGCUUCCCUCGUGACCAAACAGAAUGGUCUGUGGAAUGUUAGGCAUUGUCUGCUAUAAUGACCCAGCUAGGCGUCCACUGAGUUGGAAUUUCCUUCUGUUCUCACUGAUGUGUGUGCCAUGCCUACGUUGCAUUUGUGCAGGGUGGAAAAUGUAUCAGGACCCAUUGUUCCCACAUCACUCUACCUCAGGCAUCAUACCUGGAAGCAAUCAGAUGACAGCGUGGAGGAGGAAAACAAAACCAGCUUUGUAUUUAUUCUCAUGACUGGCAGCAAACAGGGGACUAACUGCAACAGGGGCAGGAGGCCUAGUGAGCCUUUGAUGCCCUCGCAAACCAAGGCUUGGCGUAUAUGAGAUUGGUGCCCAUCUGAGGGACCCUACUCUUCAGGGUAGGCUCUGUUGGAUAUAGGGAAACAGCUCAAGCACUAUUCCAAUCCGGUUUGAUAUUUUUAUACUGAGAGGAGAAUUCUAACACUUCUUGGUCUGUGAGAAGGGGCUGUGGGAGUUCCACAUGAGUUAAACCAAGAAACAGAAACUGUGUGGCCCAGGGCUGACCUGUAGACUCCCCAUGGCAUGGAAACUUCUAGAAUGAUUGCUCCCUGAAACAUCAGCGAUGAAGGGGUUUUACCAAAAUAGUGUGUUGAAGGUUUGGGCAGCACUGCACGGUGCUUCCCACAGGGAAACGUUGCUGAGAGAGAGAGAGAAAUGUGGAGUGUGAUACACAGCGUCUCCCCUUUUUGAGGUGACUACACCCCGACCCCAUCAGCAAGCUGCAUGCUGCUCUCUGGCUGCAAGUCCCGAGGACAUUCGGAAAGGUCAGGGGAUUUGCAAAUUGAGGGCUGGACAAAAGCAUUUGAGUCAUAUUUCUGAUCAAGUAAUGAUUUAUUUCUGCACAUAUGAAAGUGGGUUUUUGAAGCUACUGAAUUAAUUGUUUUUGUUGAACAGCCAGUUCAGGGAAGGGUUUAUUAAUCCCUUUGGAAGAUGACUGUAGAAAACAUGUUCUCUAAGAUUAAGAUCAUGUCCUUUAUAUAAGUCCUGAUAGAAAGUUCCUUCCUUGGCUCUAAAAUUAGAAAAAGACCUUUUUGCAAACCACAAAGCCCAACAAAUGUCGAGUGGACGUUUUGCACUGGAACCUUUCCAAGGGGAAUGAACUUGCUCAGUGUUAUUUUUAAUUGCAGGCCACACAGUUCAGCUUACGCUGUCCACAUGAAACUAAUUGUAGGAUUUAUGGGUUUUUUUUUUUUAGCCAAAUCUAAAAUCUCUAUGUAAGUAACCCCAAAGAUCAAUCAGGGUGGGGGGAAAUUCUGCCUCACAGUUCCAAAUACUCAGCCAUGUGGAAAGACACCGGGCAGGACUUCAGGUGAUUCGGAUCCUUCCUUUAUUAGUUUCAGUGUCAUUUGGAAAAAUUAACUCUGAGAUCCUCCCUCUCCACCUCUCCCCCUUUCUCCUUCUUUCCUCUUUUUAUAUUUUUAGACGAUUGCAGCUGGGACACAUUCUAUAUCUACCCCUCCUUUUAUAGACAAGGAAGUUAUUCUAGAGAAGACAGUUUAUUGAGGUGGUGUUGUAAAAUCAUAUCUUUGUCCUUUUCCCUUCUAUGUCUCUCCCUAACCCAUAGCCCAGCUUCUUAAAAAUGAGCCACACAAGGUGACGUCGAAGUUCACAACAAUCUUCAGAGCCUUUACCAAGAAUACAGCAUCUCCUUUCCCCCAGAAGGGGAAGUUUAAUAGUGUUGGCUUUCAGUGAUCGUUUUCUUUUAUAUGUGCGCUACCUUCUAGGCUCAUCACCAAAUAUUUAUAUCUUGCCCUCAAUGAAUACACAUUUGGUGUCAUUUCAUCUCAAAUUACAUUUUAGAAAAAUAUUUCCACUUCUAAGAAAGAGGAUGGGAAGAAACAGAGAGAGAGAUGAAGGGAGGAGAGAUUAAGAGAGAGAUUCAGACAGACAGACAGACAGACAGACAGAUGUACCUGUAGGUCUAUAGUGGUUGUAAAUUUAUGUAACCUAAGUAGAAAUAAAAAGUUCUAGCUCCUCAUCUUUCACACACACAAAAAAGCCCUCCAAGAUUUAAUGUCAGCGAGAUACUGUCAAAAUGUAACCAGAGUGUGUGGUUCCGUAUUUAGCAUGUUAGGAUUUAUGUGAAGUUAUUUUGUGUCUAGCACAGCCUCCACGUGGGAUCACAGGUCUGCCCUCUGAAAGCUGGCUGUCCAGGGUGAGACUGUGAUAGCACCUGUGUCACCAUCUCUCACGCCCUGUGCUGCUAAGGGGUAAGGAUACAGUCAGUGCAUAUGCUUGGGAGUCAGAGACACUCACUCUGGGAGGAUAGUUAUUUUCACUUGGAGACACAUUUAAAAUAGUUUUGUAAGAAAAGAUAAGAAAAGAAAGGGGAGGAACAUUUCAGAGAACAGGGAGAUCAUGGUUCUAAAAAGGCACAAUAUCAAGAAGUCCGAACUGGCUGCGUGUCCCUUUCUUUACCCAGGGUUUCUAAAAGUACUAUGAGUCUCCUUCCUGUCCUGAGCCCAUCUUUCUCCAUCCUGGAGUGCUCUUACACAUGUGGCACAGUGUUAACAGUAAGUCCCAGUCAGUGUAACGUGAACAGAACAGUUGGUGGCUGCUGAGACGUACUUCUGGGUGCUAUGAGCUUCAAUACAAGGGUUGAAAAUGUUUUCCUCCAUGGAUAUGGUCACAGCCAUGCUAAAUAACAGAAGCUGUAGGUAGGGUUAUGAUCCACUAAUGACAAGUUAGAAUUAAUGAGAGUUUAACAAGUCUGCUAAAUACAAAAUCAAUAUAAAAAUCAAUUGAAAUCUCAUCUAUCAGAAAAACACUAUUACAAAGCAAAACGUAAAAUUUUACUGUUUAACACAGCAUUAAAAUAUCACAAAUCUAGUAAUAAAUCUAACAAAACAUACGCAUGACUUCUACAGAGGACAAAGCACCCAAUAAAGACUUGCUUUAGAACAUAGAGCAGCUCUUGCUACAUGGAGGCUUACAUCAAGAUUGUUGAUUGGAAGAUGCAGUGUGGUAAAGAUGUCAGUGCAAUUCCCAGCCACACAGGGCAGAAAAUUCAUACCGAGAUCCACGGAUAUGACCAUACUAGCAUAGGACAGAGGUAACACUAAUGGAUGAUCAGUUUGGGGGUAUUCGGUAUUCAUAAGGAAAAAACAAAACCCUUUCAUCACAAGAAGUAUGAAAAGCAAUUGACAAACAAUGUGUAAAAAUAUAAGUUAUAAAACUUUUAGAAGACAAUACACAAGAACCUCUUUUGAUACAUUCAUUAUGUAGAAAAAUGUUUUAAUAGGUACAGAAGCAUAAAAUAAAUAUGACUGCAUUAAAAGUAAGAGCUUUCACUAAUCUAAAAAUAAACUCCUUCAAUUAAAAUAGAGUUUAUAAAUGGCAGAUGUUUGUAACAAGGGUCAAAUACCCAAAACAUCUAAGGGACUCUGCCACAUCAGUAAGAUAAAGUCUAACUGAGGGGAAAGGGGCAGAAGACUUGAAGAGAUAUUCCACAAUGAGGAAAUCCAAAUGGCCACCAACCAGAGGGGCGAGGCCCCGAUCUUUACAGUAAGAAAGAAAAACAAAUGAAACCAAAGGAGAUUCCACUGCAUAUAUAAGGUCACGGGUAAAAAUGUAAAAGCCUGAAAAUCCCGUGUUUGAGGGGAAGUGGGGAGUCUGAGAAUUCAGGUAGCACAGUGUUGUCUCCUCAGAAGGUCUCUGAGCAUCAUCUGACCUCUGUGUGGCCAGCAGCUCCUCUGUUGGUGUGUAUCUCAGAAAUUUCUGCACAUUCAUGUGCAAGAACCUUCUAGCAGUACAUUUGAAAUACUAGCAUUGCAACUCCCAAAUAUCUAUUGUGAGGCACAAAAAAAAAAAAAAAUCAAUGCAUUAACGAUUAUGCAUCAGCGGAAAUGAAUAAAUUGUAACCAAGCACUAUAGCAAAGAUGAAUUUCGGUGUCCAAAGAGGAAAGUAAGGCAGCCAAUACCACUUACAUCCCUGCAAUAUACUAGAGCUCCAGAGCCAGGCAGGACUGGUGUGCGUGCCAGGUUGUAUGCAUAGUUGGUGAAGUUGGCAAAUAAGAGCACAAUGAAGGAUUUAUCAUAAUAUCAAGAUAACGGAGAGCUGUGGAGGGAGAGAGAGGGUCCUGCUCACAGAGAGGCAAACGAAAGAUCCCUGGGGGCUUUGAUCCAGACCUGUGUGUAACUUUAUACCUCCUGAUAUAUCCACAAAAGGAAGUGGGGCUGGAUGGGGUGAGGGCAGGCGGGUAGGAAGAGUGUCCUAGUUAUCAGGGGGAAGCGGGACUCCCAACCUGAUAGAUGUCAAUAUGCAGAGUUUCUGUCCCCUGAAGUUGAAGAAUGAAUUCCAAAGGACAAAGGAGGUUCAGAGGAGUAAAAGUGUGUUGUGGACAAAGAAUAGCACCUGAGAGAUCGGAGGAGACCCGGGAAUGGGCUGCCACUGAGGCCCUUUGUCAGGGUAAUUUACACAGGAAGUCACAACAUAGACCACAGAGUGGGCCAAACCCCAGUUGACUUGCAGGAAUAUAAAUGUAUCUCCUUGGCUGAUAUUGGUCCAAUAGGGAACCAAAUCUCACAGCAAGGGUGCAUGAACAGAACAAGCAUCUUUGGUAGGAGAUGGGUCUGGACUCUCCGCUCACCCGCCCGGUAACGGAUGCCAUUACCUUCUUCAUCCUGAGGCGCCUCUGAAGAAAGCCAGGCCUCAGGAUGAAGACGCCACAGCCAGGCUGUACACCCCCCUGGAGAAGGAGAAUGACAGGGGAUUUCAGUGCAGCCAGCAUCACCUGGGCAGGAGGUCCAGAUGGGGAUCAGGACCCCAGUCCCUCUCUGACUAUCAACUUCUAUGUGACUUAGCUGCCUAUAAUCCUGGGACAUAGCAGCAAAGCAGGCCAGUGACCCGUCGGCCAAGAGAACAGGAGGAACUGAGGCCUCUCCUCUGAGGAGACCAGCCCUGUUCUCCGUCUUCAUGUAUGCUGUAGUAUUUGCCUUUCAAUGUAGUGAAUGAAACAUGCAUUUUAUAGGACUUAAUUUUUCCACAAAUAAAGUGAUACAUCAAAAGCGUAAGGUAAGGUAAGAACAUUGGUGUUUUACUUCUGCAGAUCAGAAAAUACUUAUUGUUAACAGUAUAUAAUCACUUACUUUGCACAUGGUACUAAUUUUUACUAGAUUUAAAGAGCUGCCACUUUCUUCUCAGACAUUCCCGCAGUGUUCAUCAUUUGUCCCUUUUAUACUUGCACUAUUCUGGUACUAAUCUUUUUAUUCACUACGAUAGCAAAAAAUUUGCACUGAGUAGUAAACACAUAAACUAAAUAUGCAUAUUUUUAAUAUCACUGCAGUAGGAAGCUAGAAGGACCCAAUUGCUUCUGCAUACGCUGAUUUGGAUAAAUUUUGAGUAACCAUUUCAAGGCUCAUGAAAAGAAUUUAAAAGUAAUUUUUAAAAAUUCCCUAAACUUCAUUUAAAUAUAUAAGGAGCUGUCCAAGGAGCUGGCAUCACCACGUAAAUGAUGGAGAAGCAGCUGUGGAAAUGUCUUCUUAUUAUUCUGCUGACUUAAUCCCAUUUCCAACACAUAACCUGAGUACGUGUCUUCCCACGCCCCUUUUCACCUUAUCCCAACAAUACCAAGCACAGUAAAACUCCCAGCUGAAAAUAGUCUUUGGUAAUUUUUUUUUAAACACAGAAAGCGAUUUUCUAUUAUUUUUGCCACCCAAUAGGAAGAAUUGAUGGUGCAUUAAUCAAAAAAACAAUUUCAUUAAAAAAGUUGAUCUUUACCUUGAGUGUAACCUUACGACAAAGCCAGUGAUGAAACUUAAAUUAGAAGACUGAAACCCACUUUAGUCUUAUGCCACUAAAAACGCAUGUCUCCAACUACUUUCUAAGUUCGAAACUCAGGAACUGUUACUAAUUCAAUUGAUGCAUGUGGGUGAUUAACUAUUUGGAGAAUUAAAACUUAAGCGUUACUUUUCCAUUUUGGUUAUUUAUUCAGUGAAAACUGAAGGUAAAGCCCACAGAUUCCGAGGGCGUGGUCAUGGACAGCGGAGGGCCAGGAUUCACUGGAACACUGACUGACUCCAUGUCCUUCGGGGUUAGUGGAGAGACAGGCACAGUGACCGGGCCUCAGUGAGGGCCGGUAGUGGUCACUCUCCUGAACACAGAAGUGUUUUGCCCGUGCCCCCGAUUCCUUACUUCCACGUUGGACGGCUGCACCUGGGUUUUGUCUCUCCAGUGUCUUUCCCUCUUCCUCCCCGCCUUCCUCCCAGCGGCUCUGGCCUGCCCUCACAGCCCACCAAGCAUUUUGCCAGGUCCUGACACGUUCUCCUUCUGAAGAAUACCUCCAGGCCCUGCUCUUGCCAGCAGGGACAAAUUUCUACCUAAUCCCCAGCACUAGUCCUGUGCCCUAAAACUAGUACUCAUGCUCAGUCAGACAAGUAUCAUCUAAAUACAAAUGGGUCUACUUGUGCACGUGGACCUCUUCGGUGGUGACCAGUGCAACCCAGUUAAUGACAUGAAAAGGCCCCAUUCUUUUCCUUCCUGCCCUGGCUCUUACCUCACUUGGUCCUCAUCUCAUUCUGGCAAACAGCUAACGAUGGUCAUCAGUUGGUACUGAGCACAUCCCUGCACCCACCCGGUUCACAGCAUCCCAUCACCCCACCCUCACGAGCACCCUAGAAGCUGCUGCUGUUGCACAUAAUAAUUGUUGCACAUAAUAUUUUCAGUUGCACAUAAUAAUUGUACAUGUGGAUGGUGUGGUGUGAUGUUUCCAGACAUGGUAACGCUGUGUAAUGAGCAAAUCAGGGCAGUCACCAGAACCGUCACCUCCAACAUGUGUCAUUUUCCAGGUGGGGAGAUUCAGUGUCCAUCCUGUAGCCGUUCUGGAAUAUAGACCAGAUUACUGUGGGUGAUGGCCACAGUGCCGUGCAGUGGAAUGCCAGGCUCAUUCCCCGCCCCAGCUACUACCAUUAUUAUCUGGGCAUUUCAGAUGAGGGAACCGGAGUUCAGAAGAAAGAAAUUGGUGCUCAGAGUUGCACGGUUGCCUGAGAGUUGGGGAAGCAGAAACAAACCCAGGGACCAGGCUCCAAGGUCUCCAUCCUUUCUCUUUGCCUGCAUGUCUUUGCUGGCAGGUUCCUUAAAGAACAUAUGGCCCCUUUGCGCCUUUGCACAGAACUCCUUCCCUUCUUUCGGCUUGGCUACAUCCAAACCACCCUUCACUGGCGGUUUCCAUACUUCUUGCCCUUUCUGUGGCUUGGUGCUAUUGCGAUCCUUACUCUCUUUGGCUCUAUGCAAUUUGCCCCAUCAGAACAUAUUCGAAACACAUGUGCAUUGUUUCAAGUCCUCUUGCGUGUGUUAUAUUUGAGUCUUCAGUGCUGGUGAGUGUGCUGGUGCAGAUUCAUCAUCAACCACGGUGACUUUGCCCCAGGGCACAUUUGCCACCAUUUGGAGUCCUUUAGUUUUUUCAACUUGAGGAGUCACAACUGGCAUUGAGUGCUGCUAAACACCCUACAAUGAGAAGCAGCAAACCCCAGCAAACCUGCCCCCCCAUGCAGUAGACAUAGGCUGGCAAACGCAGAAGUCAGGGAACACACAGAAUGGAGAGAGGGAUCUAUGCAGCAUUUAUUUGCUCCCAGGGUGUCAUCCAAACAGAUUUUUCACAGGAGUUUUAAGUGGUGGGCUUAAAGAAGCAGGCACAACUUCCGGGAGGUCAUGCUGUGACUGAGAGGUGGUCACCAUGCAGAGUCAAGCAGGCUGUGUCCAGCUGGGUCACAGGCGAGAGCUGGUCACCAGGACUUGGUUACACAGGGCAGCUUUUAGAUGCACCACUGUGAAGAACUGGGAGGAGAGGAAGAGCUGUAAACCAUUAAGGGUGACUGAGCUCUGCUUCUGGUGUGUGAAGGUCCAAUUUAUAUUCAAAAUGGAGAUGGAGGCGACAGAAAAUCCGAAGAACUCUAACAAAGGUCGGCUAAAGGAAGGCUCUGAGGUCGCCUUCCAGGUUUGCACAGAGAAGUCAGUUGUUCUGUCCUCUGAAGGGCAGCUCUUUCCCAGGCCUCCUAGGGACCUCAUCAUGGUGAACAGAAGCCCUCCUUUGUCUCACUUUGUUAAACUGGCUUGCAGCUGGCCUCUGAGACACCGCGUAGCUGGACCACAUAGCCAGAAAGCAACAGGGCCGUUAGGCUGCACAGGGAAUCUUUCCUGUUCAUUGUUUUGCCAGCGCUGUUGGUACAAUCCAGAUCCCACACGCGGCGUGGUGCGGCCCACCGUCCUAACUCAAACAUCCACACUUUCCGCCCCUCACAGUGAGCUCACAGCACUUCUCUAAGCCAGCGCAAAACCAGAGUUACUGUGGCCUAACACGGAGCUGCAACCUUCACUGCAUCUGAAGAAUUACAUGUGCAUCCACUGAGAGCUGCUAGCAGUGAUAGGAGAGAAUUCCAUAGUUUUAGACAAAAAAAUAGUUUCCCGCACAGAAAGCAUGAUCACAAUCCAUUUUUUCCUAAAUAAGGUGAUAGUUUUCUUACAUCUUUAAAAAAAAAAGAUUAAUCAAAAUGUUAAUGAAUGUUAAGUGACUUUUGGACAUUCGCCUAGA